GCCAGCUGAGGCACAUGCCUUGGGAGCUAAGUGGUUGCUGCCCUUGACUACUAUGAAGACUGGUGUGGGAAGGGUCGCUUUGGAUGCACUUGAGCAGGGGUCCCCAAUCCCUGAGCCAUGGAGCCGUAAGGAGCCACACAGCAGGUGGGACCAUCCAGUUUCAGGAAAACAAGCUUAACACGCCCACUGAUUCUACAUUAUGCUCCUACCUCCCGGCAGCCUCGCCAGGCCCAGAACUCUCUCCAGUCAGCCUCUACAGACCAAGCUCAUGACUCACAAUGGCCUAUUGAGGCCCAUACCCUACCUCACGGCAGUCUCCGCAGAUGAGCCUACUGCCUCACAACAGCCUCCACAGGCACAGCUCCAUCGUUACAAUGGCCUCUUUAGACCCAGCUCCUGCCGCCCAGCCUUCUCUCCAGGCCCUGAACUUUCUCCGUGGGACCAUCCAGUUUCAGGAAAACAAGCUUAACACGCCCACUGAUUCUACAUUAUGCUCCUACCUCCCGGCAGCCUCGCCAGGCCCAGAACUCUCUCCAGUCAGCCUCUACAGACCAAGCUCAUGACUCACAAUGGCCUAUUGAGGCCCAUACCCUACCUCACGGCAGUCUCCGCAGAUGAGCCUACUGCCUCACAACAGCCUCCACAGGCACAGCUCCAUCGUUACAAUGGCCUCUUUAGACCCAGCUCCUGCCGCCCAGCCUUCUCUCCAGGCCCUGAACUUUCUCCGUGGGACCAUCCAGUUUCAGGAAAACAAGCUUAACAUGCCCACUGAUUCUACAUUAUGAUUCUUCAGGCCCAGCAUCUGCCUCACUGUGGACCCCCCAAGCCAAGCUCCCAACCUUUCAGCAGCUUCUACACACCCAGCUCCCGCCUGCCAGUGGCCUCUUCAGGCCCAUGGGGCUCAUUCCUCACAACAGCCUUUCCAGUCCCAGUUUUUCCCUUCCGGCGGCCUCUCCGGGCUGAGAACCUCCUCAAGUCGGCCUCUCCAGACUCACUUGCACCCUCCAGGCGUCCUCUCCGGGCCAAGCUCCUCUUCCUGGCUGCGUCUCCAGGCCUGACUCCUGCCUCUCAACAACCUCUUUGGACUCAGUGCCUACCCAUCUCCUGGCGUCCUUGGUCGGCCCACAGCUUCCUCAAGCCAAGCUCCCCAGGCCCAGGUCAGGCCUCACGGUGCCCCCUCCACGAUGAGCUCCUGCCCUCCAAUGGCACCUGCAGGACCCAAAUGGUCUCCGGUCGGUGGGCUCCUCCACGCCAAGCUUGGGCCUCCCGGUGACCUCUGCAGGCCCAAGUUGUCCUGAAGUCGGCAUCUCCCAGCCAUGCCUCCCAGCAAGUAAGCAAGCUCUUUUGGCUCAACUCCUGCCCAGCUCCCAACCGCCUUUGUAGGUCACGAACUUUCUCCAGCCAAGUUCUUUGGGCCUCAUUCCUGCCACCCGGUGGCCUGUACGGGCCCAGCAAUGGUUGGAGAACGGCCUCUGCAGGUCCCGCUCUUGCCUCCCAGGGGCCUCUCCAGGCCCAGCUCUUGCCCCCACAGCGGCCACCUGGGGCCAAGUCCCUGCC